CCCUGCUCCUGUCAGUUACUGUUGUCACUCCCCUUGUGUUCUAGCAUGUUCCCUGGCAGUUAGCCCUGCUUUGAUGAUUUUUUGGUUUGAAAGGCUUCUUUCCUACCCUGAGUGCUCCCUAUUUGUUAAGUUACAUGAUGUAACCCUCCCCUAAGAUCCCCUCAUUGGUUGAGAGUUGUGUCCAGCCCUUGUACUGUUCCUUCUUUAAAAAUGCUUGCCGGGCCUAUUCUCCCUGUCAUUUACUCCUGGCCUCCUUCGGGAAAUAAGCUUUCUUUGGAGGUUCAGGCAAGUGAUCUUUCCCUGUUUCCUUUACUUCAGGUUCCUCAUGUUGAGCCUCUGGUGUGCCACCCACACUGCAGCAAUCACCGCCACCCUGGAUGGUCUCGGCUGAGCUCAUGGGGCGGCCAUCCUCAUGUGUGCCCUCCAGCCAUGAAGGGUGUGCUAGCCAGCAAACCUCCACCCCAUGGCCACAGACUGCUCUCACAGUGUCCUCUUCUCCUGUCACUUGUUGGCUGAGAAAAGAGACCAAACCUCACCUGGCUACAACCUCCUUUCAGGCAGCUGGAGAGAGUGAUAAGGUCUCCCCUGAGCCUCCUUUUUCUCAGGCUAAACAACCCCAGCUUUCUCACAUGCUCCUCACAGGACUUGUGCUCCAGACCCUUCACCAGUGCUGUUGCCCUUGUCUGGGCAACCUCCAGCAUCUCAACAUCCUUCCUGAACUGGGGGGCCCAGAACUGAGGUGUGGCCUCACCAGUGCCAGGUACCAGUGAAGAAUGACCUCCCUGGUCCUGCUGGCCACACUAUUCCUGCAGUGCCAGGUACCAAUGAUGAAUGACCUCCCUGGUCCUGCUGGCCACACUAUUCCUGAUACAGGUCAGGAUGCCAUUGGCCUUCUUGGUCACUAGACAUACACUGGUUCAUUUUCAGUAAGCUCAGUCAAUAUCCCCAGGUCCUUUUCUGCUUGGCCACUGUCCGGCCACUCUGUCCCCAGCCUGUAGUAAAGCAGGGGGAUGUUGUGGCCAAAGUGCAGGACCUGGCACCUGGACUUGUUAAACUUACUGUUGGACUCUGCCCAUCUAUUCAUAUUCCUCCCAGAACCCUCCUAGCCUCCAACAGAUUGAAAUUCCCCCCACCUUGGUGCCAUCUGUAAAUUUGAUAAUGGUGAACUCAAAUCACCUCAUCCAGAUUAUCAAUAAAGAUACUAAACAGGACUGGGUCCAACAUUGAUCCCCGAGGAACACUACUGGUGACUGGCUGCCAGCUGGAUGCAGCUCCAUUGACCACCACUCUCUGGGCCCAGCCAUCUAACCAGUUCUUUACCCAGCAAAGAGUGCUCCUGUCCAAGCUGUGGGCUGCCAGCUUUUCCAGGAGAAGGCCAUGGGUGCUGGUAUGAAAUGCUUUGCUGAAGUCCAGGUAGAAACACCCACAGCCUUCCCCUCCUCCACUACCUGUUCAGGAAAGAUAGGUCAGUGAGACAGAACCUACCCCUCUUAAGUCCAUGCCAGCCAGGUCUGAUCCCCCAUCCAUCAUGAAGCUGCCAUGUAAUUGCACUCAGGAUGGUCUGCAAGAUUAUGGUUCCAAAAUUAUGGUUCCAUAAUCUUGCAGGGCACUGAGGUCAGGUUGACAGGCAUGUAGUUUCCUGGAUCCUUCUCCUGGCUCUUCUUGUGGAUGGGUAUCACAUCGGUCACUUUCUGGUGACCUAGGACUUCCUUGGUUAACAAAGACUGGUGAUAAAUGAUGGAAAGUAACUCAGGGAGCUCUUCUGCCAGCCCCCUCAUGACUCUUUUUUAAUUACCCUGGGACCUUUUUUAUAAGCCUUAUCACUGCCAAGCUGGACAACCAGCACUGGAAAAUAAUCAGGAGGCUGAAUUAGUUCAGGGAGUGUCCUGGUGAAAUCCUGCACCCAGGCCCCAGAGAGGCAGCACACUUCCCUGCGGAAUGGGUGCACUUGACAUACAGGAGCCGUCGUUCCCCUUAGAACAGAGUCACCUACAACAACUACCGUUCUUUUCUCCUUAAUACAUGUUGGAUAUUUUCUAUAUUGGUAAACAAUAAAUAGGAUAGAAGUCUGAUUUUGCCUGUUGUUUUUCCUAGGCCAAACUUGAGAUGCAAAUUAAGGAAACAAAUAUGUCUUAUGCAGCUGCUAUAAAAAAAGUUUACUUACUUUGUUCUCUCUACUCGUUCUCUCAAACAUUGAAGAAUUACAUGGAAGUCUCGGUCUUUGAGAAGCACUAUAGUGCAGAAAUCAGAAACCUAACUAGCAUGUUGCAGUAGUUCAUAAUAUUUUUUUUUUUUCAUUUAUUAGCAAAACCUGUGUGAUUUUUUCACAGAAGCAGGAAAAAUAAUGUUGAGAAACUGAGUCCCACUAAAAAUGAAAAAAGGGGAAAACCAUGGAAAAAUAUCUAGUUCAGUUUUACUUCUUAGCUAUUCACUUUGCACUUUGGACAGGAAAUAGUGAUUCAUAUCCAUUGACAUAAUGAGCGCACAAAGAAAAUAAAAUAGGCCAUAAAGAAUCUAAAGAUGCCAAAAAAUUAUAAGUGUCAAUCAACAUCAACAACUUUGUCUUGUAUUGAUUUUUUAUAUAGAUGAAAAUCCGCUUAUUAAAUCUAAGCCAUAUAGUUUCACUUUGUCUUCGACCUCAGUCAAGACACUCAGAACAUACUAAUGUAAUUUAUGGCAUAAAAUGUGGCCAACUCCACAGUUUGUGUGAUGCUACAAUUACAUCAUUCAUAACUAUAUCCUUCUGUUAGGACAAGUUCAAAUUCCUUGUUCUUGACACUCAGUGACCCAAAUUACUCAGCCUUAACCUAUAAUUUUGUCCUUGUCUUCUGUGUGCUAAGGACAUGAAUUCAACACUGCUUUAAUUUUCUUCUACCGUUUUAUUUUCAUGCUCUCUUUCUAGCUGUUUUAGAUUCAUGGAAUGGCCUCUGAAUUCUUACUUAAAGACCUCGUUUCAUCGUUCAAACUACUUCUAAAACCUUUUUCCCCAAAUCUUCCAUUAAAGGAACUAAUGUACUCAGCAAUCAGAAAUGCAGACAUGUCUGACAGCUAAUUGCAUAAUCCUUUAAAAGUUAUAGUCACAUCUCUAUCUUUUUUUUGUUCUUGUUUAUUAUUUCCUCUUUUUGUGUCACGUUUGAGUUUAAAUUGUAACCUCUUCAUUGUGGGGAUCUUUUCAUUAGCUGCUCCAUCAUUAUUUUCCACAAAAGCAAAAUAAUUAACAUUUCCCUAUGACGCUACAAUAUUUAGUCAUUCGAAAGUAAGGAAUAAAUUUAUGAGGAUGACAAGAUGCUAGAAGCUGGAAAAAGAAGUAUUUUUCUUACAAUGGAAACCUGAACAUCUUAUUCCUUAGAAAAUAUAAUGGGGUGUAACUCUGAAACUCCCCUGAAAAUGGCCCUUAUCCAUAAAAUGUAUGCUUUCAACUAAUAAAAAAUCACUAGUAAUUCACUUUAGUGAAAAACUCUAAAAACAAAAACUAAAACUGUGUUUCUUAUACAGUAAGAAGCACACUAUAUGAUACCACCACCUGAACCAGGUAUCUUAUUCAAGAUGAAUGUCUGAGAUCCAUACACAUUCAGCAUUAAAAAAAAAAAAUGAAACCAUUUACCCCCUCUAAAAUAGAUGCCAGAGAAAGGCAAGAUGAAUCAGAGUUUGAAGAAUUACUAUAUUUUGAAUAUUUACUAUGCAAUUUUCAUUUUUAUUAAAAUUGUCUUGGAGAGCCCAUUUGAUACUACAAGAAUCAAGCAGAGAAUUGUGGUCGUUUCAGUGUCAAUAUAGUUUACAUCGAAUCAAAAAUAUCAAAUUCCAACUACAGGGCAGUAUUCAUAUUCUUACAUAUAUUUAAAUCCUUGCCUAUUUACAGAAGUAUGUUAUUUUUCUCAAAUAAAAAGGUUAAGAGAAUUCUUCCAACUAUAAAAAUGAAGUGUUAAGGUAGUUAUGUACCUUAUAGUGAUGGGGAGCAGAUUAUAGGCCCCAUAAACCCAGAGGGAAUGGUCAGUGACCUGUUAUACCACUUAGACACAAAAAAGUCCAUGGGGCUGGAUCAAAUCCGUCCAAAGGUACUGAGGAAAGUGGUGGAAGUGUUCCACAAGUCUCUUUCCAUCAUUUUUUGUCAGUCCUGACUAACAGGAGAGGUCCCCGAGGAAGUUAGAAAAGGGACACCCAUCCACAGGAAAGGCCGGAAAGAACAUCCAGGGAACUACAGCCUGUCAGUCUGACCUUGAGGCUGGGGAAGGUUAUGAAGAAGAUCAUCUGGAUUGCCAUCACACAGAGAGUGCAGGACAACUAAUGUCCUGCAGGCUCAGGACUGACAGGCUGAGGCCAGUGGUGUGAGGUCACAAUAACUCCAUGCAGAGCUGCAGGCCUGGGGAGGAGUGGCUGGAAAGCUGCCUGGUGGAACAGGACCUGGGGGUGCUGGCUGACAUCCUGAGCAUGAGCCAGCAGUGAGCCCAGGUCAAGAGGAAAUGGCCUAAAGUUGUGCCAGGAGAGGUUUAGAUUAAAUAUCUGGGAAAAAAAAUUCAUCAUGGAAAAUGAGAUUAAGCACUGGAACAGACUCCCCAGAAAUUCUUCUGAAUCUAGUGAUAAAACGCAUCUACUGCAGCAGACACCACAGAUAAAUGGCCUUGGUAACACAGACAAUUAAUUUGUGGCUGGCUUUGCUUCAAUGAAGAAGAGAUGAAAACACAUCUAUAGUUUUUAUGAUUCCAAAUGGAAAGUCAUCUUGGAUGAAAUUUAUACUAGGAGAAACACUACGUAUUCACCAGAGACAGCAGUGAUCAAGAAGUAUAUCCCACACCUUCUGCAGAAAGCAAGCCUAGGAGAUGCCAUCAUGAGGGUAGAGACUUGGAUGAGAAACUCUUGGGUUCCACAAGGAAAAUUUUUUUGGUAAGGAAUAUUAAAUAAUUUUAAAACUUAAAACCCAAGCACAAGCAGUAUGCUUUUCCCUAAAUAUAUUGCAGAUGUAGAAUUCCUCUAAUUCUUCUGAAAGUUAAAAUGGCAAAAUAAAGAUCUGUGUACCAGACUUUUACAUAUGUACCACCAAAACAUGGUGCCCUUUAAGCUGCUAUAUAUGCUAUUACAGCUAUAAAUACCAGGAUAACUCUAGUUAACUCAUGGUAAAUUGUACCAAUUAAGUUGCCUUCUGAACUUAAUUUUUUUGUUAAAUUUGAAAGUAGAAAAGUUGAACUCCAAUAGGAUUUUCUUUUCCCUGUAGUUUAUUUGUUCCCAAUGCUAUGUUUCACCUUGAAACCUGCUAGUAAAUGUAUAACAUCAUGUUCUGUGACCUGCACUCUUCAUUCUGGCUCUUGUGUGUUCCAGUGGGGUGAUUUUAAUUUCCUUUUAUUACAGUUAAGGGCAUCUACAAUCUGGUUUAAAACACUUAGUUUGUCAUGUGAAGAUUCUGCUCAAAUUGACCUUGAUUUAUUUGCCCUAUUUAUUUCUUUGGACCGCCGGUGGAUUUGGAACAAAAACUGUAAAAGUGUCUGUGAUAGUAGCUUCUGUUAGCUUGUUUGGUGAGUGAGUGCUGCUCACUUCCUUCCUUCCUUCCUUCCUUCCUUCCUUCCUUCCUUCCUUCCUUCCUUCCUUCCUUCCUUCCUUCCUUCCUUCCUUCCUUCCU